rnacentral:rRNA from 1 species
GACAGAGGGUGCAAACGUUGUUCGGAAUUACUGGGCGUAAAGCGCGCGCAGGCGGACCCGCAAGUCGGGGGUGAAAGCCCGAGGCUCAACCUCGGAACUGCCUUCGAUACUGCGGGUCUCGAGUCCGGGAGAGGUGAGUGGAAUUCCUAGUGUAGAGGUGAAAUUCGUAGAUAUUAGGAAGAACACCAGUGGCGAAGGCGGCUCACUGGCCCGGUACUGACGCUGAGGCGCGAAAGCGUGGGGAGCAAACAGG